CUAGGACCUCUCUGUCCUCACUUUCUUUUGCUUCCCAUGGCUUCUGCAGGCAGGCAAGACCUGGAUCUCCAGUGACUGCACCCAGAGCUGUGCCUGCGUGGGAGGGACUGUCCAGUGUCACAACUUCACCUGCCCCCCAGGGACUCAGUGCCAGAACAGUGUCUGUUCCAAAAUCAUACAGUGCCCAGUCCACAGCCAUUACACCGCCUGCCUCCCCUCCUGUCCACCAUCCUGCUUUGACCCAGAAGGCCUCUGUUGGGGCACCAGUCCAAGAACCCCCUCCACCUGCAAGGAGGGUUGUGUCUGCCAACCUGGCUAUGUGCUGAACGAAGACAAGUGUGUGCUCAGGAGUCACUGUGUCUGCAAGAAUAACCAGGGUGUCCUCAUCCCGGCAGACAAGUCCUGGCUCACCAGAGGCUGUAUCCAAAACUGUACGUGCAAAGGAGGGGACAUUCAUUGCUUGAAUUUCAAGUGUCCCUUGGGGACCGAAUGCAAGGACAGUGUUGAUGGAAACAGUAACUGUGCCAAAAUUGUUCUGCAAUGCCCAGCCCACAGCUACCACACCAACUGCCUUCCCUCCUGUAUCCCAUCCUGCUCCAACGUGAAUGGCCGCUGUGAGUUUACCAGCCUCAAAAACCCCUCUACCUGCAUAGAAGGCUGCCUCUGCCAGUCUGGCUUUGUGUUCAAUAAGGACAAGUGUGUCCACAGAACUCAGUGUGGCUGCAAAGACUCCCAGGGCACCCUCAUUCCGGCAGGUAAGAACUGGAUUACCACGGGCUGUUCCCAGAGAUGUACUUGCACGGCAGGACUUGUUCAGUGCCACGACUUCGAGUGCCCCUCAGGGACCGAGUGCCAGGACAUCGAGGACGGCAACAGUAACUGUGCUGAAAUCACUGUGCAGUGCCCGGCCCACAGUCACUACUCCAAAUGCCUUCCUUCAUGCCUGCCUUCCUGCUCCGACCCAGAUGGCCUCUGCAAGGGCACGCGCCCCAAAGCCUCCUCCACCUGUGAGGAGGGCUGUGUCUGUCAGUCCGGCUAUGUGCUGAGUAACGACACGUGUAUACGCAGCAGUGCGUGUACCUGCAAGAACACCCAUGGUGUUCUCAUCCCCGUGAGUGGGCAUGGAGAGAGGGCUUGGUGAGGGCUAAAGGACAUUGCUUCCUGGGUGAGGACCUCAGGUCAAGUCCCCGUAAUCCACUUAAGCUAGGCGUGGUAUUCUACAUCUCUAAUCCCAGAGCUCCUACUGAAAUACAGGAGGUGCAAACAGGACCACCCUCAGGGACUUGCAGGCUAGACAUUUGGUACAUCAUAGUGGUGAGCAUCACGAGAUCCAAGAUGGGAGAGACGGGGGGACAGAUAGACAAGAGACAGAACGAGAGACUGUUUCAGUGCAAGGUGAAAUGCAAGAACCAACACGUGAAAAUGUCCUCUGCCUAGGAAGCGCAAGGCCCUGGGUUCGGUCCCCAGCUCCGAAAAAAAGAACAAAAAAAAAAAAAAAAAAAAAAAAAAGAAAAUGUCCUCUGACCUCCAGGAGUACAUGCCCCGUUCACACACAUACUCAAACACAAAUGUGUGUG
rnacentral:lncRNA from 1 species